AAAGGAUCGAGAGGACCGGCUUCGAGUGCGGUGAAGUUCUGGUCACCGAGCCUGAAUUCGAUCACCGUGACGCUGCCCGGCGGGCCGCUUGGCGUUUCGGCGGGCACGG
rnacentral:sRNA from 1 species